GUUGGUUUUCAAGCGGAACACCAUUGGGGAAGGCGAGUCCCUGGACAACUCCUGACACUGAGGGCACGAAAGCUAGGGGAGCAAACAGGUUUAGAUACCUUGGUAGUCCUAGCCGUAAACGGUGCAUGUUUGCUGUAAAAGGAAUCGACCCCUUUUGUGGCGGAACUAACGCGUUAAACAUGCCGCCUGGGAAGUACGGUCGCAAGAUUAAAACUCAAAGAAAUUGACGGGGGCCUGCACAAGCGGUGGAGUAUGUGGCUCAAUUCGAUGCAACGCGAAGAACCUUACCUGGCCUUGACAUGUGCGUAGUAGAAGGGUGAAAGCCUGACGAGGUAGCAAUACCAGCGUACACAGGUGCUGCAUGGCUGUCGUCAGCUCGUGUCGUGAGAUGUUGGGUUAAGUCCCGCAACGAGCGCAACCCUUGUGUCCUGUUGCCACUCGAUCGAGAGAUCGAAGCACUCUGGACAGACUGCCUCGCUUAAACGAGGAGGAAGGUGGGGAUGACGUCAAGUCAGUAUGGCCCUUACGGCCAGGGCUGCACACGUACUACAAUGCCCGGCACAAAGGGAAGCGAGACCGCAAGGUGGAGCAAAUCCCCGAAAACCGGGCCCAGUUCAGAUUGUCGUCUGCAACUCGACGACAUGAAGUUGGAAUCGCUAGUAAUGGCGCAUCAGCUACGGCGCCGUGAAUACGUUCCCAGGCCUUGUACACACCGCCCGUCACAUCAUGAAAGCCGUUUGUACCCGAAGUGCGGCUGCGUCAACUGCAAAGAGACAGGCGCCGAAGGUA
rnacentral:rRNA from 1 species